rnacentral:rRNA from 1 species
CGGCGUGCUUAACACAUGCAAGUCGAACGGAAAGGCCCUGCUUUUGUGGGGUGCUCGAGUGGCGAACGGGUGAGUAACACGUGAGUAACCUGCCCUUGACUUUGGGAUAACUUCAGGAAACUGGGGCUAAUACCGGAUAGGAGCUCCUGCUGCAUGGUGGGGGUUGGAAAGUUUCGGCGGUUGGGGAUGGACUCGCGGCUUAUCAGCUUGUUGGUGGGGUAGUGGCUUACCAAGGCUUUGACGGGUAGCCGGCCUGAGAGGGUGACCGGCCACAUUGGGACUGAGAUACGGCCCAGACUCCUACGGGAGGCAGCAGUGGGGAAUAUUGCACAAUGGGCGGAAGCCUGAUGCAGCAACGCCGCGUGCGGGAUGACGGCCUUCGGGUUGUAAACCGCUUUCGCCUGUGACGAAGCGUGAGUGACGGUAAUGGGUAAAGAAGCACCGGCUAACUACGUGCCAGCAGCCGCGGUGAUACGUAGGGUGCGAGCGUUGUCCGGAUUUAUUGGGCGUAAAGGGCUCGUAGGUGGUUGAUCGCGUCGGAAGUGUAAUCUUGGGGCUUAACCCUGAGCGUGCUUUCGAUACGGGUUGACUUGAGGAAGGUAGGGGAGAAUGGAAUUCCUGGUGGAGCGGUGGAAUGCGCAGAUAUCAGGAGGAACACCAGUGGCGAAGGCGGUUCUCUGGGCCUUUCCUGACGCUGAGGGAGCGAAAGCGUGGGGAGCGAACAGGCUUAGAUACCCUGGUAGUCCACGCUGUAAACGGUGGGUACUAGGUGUGGGGUCCAUUCCACGGGUUCCGUGCCGUAGCUAACGCUUUAAGUACCCCGCCUGGGGAGUACGGCCGCAAGGCUAAAACUCAAAGGAAUUGACGGGGCCCCGCACAAGCGGCGGAGCAUGCGGAUUAAUUCGAUGCAACGCGUAGAACCUUACCUGGGUUUGACAUGGAUCGGGAGUGCUCAGAGAUGGGUGUGCCUCUUUUGGGGUCGGUUCACAGGUGGUGCAUGGCUGUCGUCAGCUCGUGUCGUGAGAUGUUGGGUUAAGUCCCGCAACGAGCGCAACCCUUGUUCACUGUUGCCAGCACGUUAUGGUGGGGACUCAGUGGAGACCGCCGGGGUCAACUCGGAGGAAGGUGGGGAUGACGUCAAGUCAUCAUGCCCCUUAUGUCCAGGGCUUCAUGCAUGCUACAAUGGCUGGUACAGAGAGUGGCGAGCCUGUGAGGGUGAGCGAAUCUCGGAAAGCCGGUCUCAGUUCGGAUUGGGGUCUGCAACUCGACCUCAUGAAGUCGGAGUCGCUAGUAAUCGCAGAUCAGCAACGCUGCGGUGAAUACGUUCCCGGGGCUUGUACACACCGCCCGUCAAGUCAUGAAAGUUGGUAACACCCGAAGCCGGUGGCCUAACCGUUGUGGGGGAGCCGUCGAAGGUGGGACUGGUGAUUAGGACUAAGUCAUAACAA